AAGAGCAAACAGAACUUCAAUAUGUCCUGAAUUCACUACUUCCUGAGGUCUCAGAAAAUAUAACUCAAGUCAUUGCAAGGCCAUACCCAUCAUGGUCCCAGGAUACAUGAAGGGAGAAUUAUUCAUAAAUGGAAAUUGGAUUAUUAUUUCAAGAUUAAGAAAAUGUGGAUUAAGCUUCAGUCAUUUAUAGAGGAGAAGUCUAUGUGGAAGAAGCAUAAAACAAAGGAGAUGGUGAAGGACCUGAGGAGAAAAAGGAAUCAUGGCAGAAGGAUUUUAAACCAUUAAAGAUGUGUUUGAAGAAGUAGGAGAAGUUAUCAAAGAGGAAAAGAUAUUUGGGAGGACAAGUGUUCAGAGGUCUUGAAAGGAAAGGGAGUUUGAAGUGCCUUGAGGGAGCGGCAGAGGAGAAAUAAAUGGGCAACAGAGAAGAGGAGACAGCAUGAUGAAGGAUGCCAACAUCUUGACCCAUUCCAUCACAGGCUUCUCUUUGUUAUCUUUAGCCUCAUUGUGCCUUACCUGGAGCAGACGAAGGUAUUUCUAGUUCUGACAACUGCAACUGCAGACCCAAUUGAAUGGCUUCUGGAUCAGGAAUCUGGAUGGAGGCAUUUGGAACAGGGCGAGAUAUUUGAGAAGUGACAAAUGGGUCUGCAGAAAAUCAAGAAGCUCAAAACUCUGAAUGCCAAUCAUCGGAGGAGGGGAGAUGGUGUUCCAAAGGAACCUUGAAGUGAGCAGUUAAGCAGCUUGAGCUGGCUGAGAACUCAUUCCUUCUCUGGCUGUUUGACCAGAAGGUGGAAGAUAGACUAUUCUCUAGCCAUUUGCCUUAUCCAUAAGACUGUGAGCUGAAAAGACAAUUGGGUUUUAGCCCAGAAGAAACCUGUCAGCAUUGCUGUCAAUAUCUCCCCUUAGGAAAAGAUAAUUUUGUUUCCUGAAUUUGAAUAUAUCUUGAAAUCUUCAAUCAACAGGAUAACUUAGAAAAUUUAGGGAGAACUAAUUUUCCUCCCAGCUCCCCUCCUAUUCUUACUUCCUCUAUCCAAAAGAAUAAAAGACCUUUUAGUUGAA